GGACUCCGGGCUCCUCCUACCGUGGCCGGAUCUCCUUUGCGUGGCGUUUCAACGGUCCCCCAUUGCUCACAGCGUAUUGGAAGCUUCGCGGGUGAGAAACGCUAACUUUGUAACCGGACCCACGAGGCCUCCUCCGCUUCUUUUCCCUACCUUUCGUGCGGUGAGCGCCUCAACGCGGAAAACCAGACUUUGGUAGACUAUUUUUUUUUUUAAAGCGUGCUUCCGAAAGGGCGCAUGCGCAAUUUAAACACGAAACGACCACGUAACACUCACAGCCGCCGAGCCGCUUCACCGCAACUGAGGAGCGCGGGAGGAUCCUUGCGCGAGACAGGUAAGCCCGCGCGAGACGGGCGCCAUUUUGUGGCGGUUGUUAGGAGGGAGAGACAGAGGAGGAGCCGCCUGUCCCGCGCCUCGACUUUGCUUCUCGUCCUCGCCCGCCCCGAGUCGCCUCCUCGCGCGGGUCCUUCCUCCGGCUCUCCGCCCUCUUCCUCGCGCAGCGGCCGCCCCACCAACCGCAGCCAUUGCAGACCUCGCCAUGUCUGGAGGCGGCGUGAUCCGCGGCCCGGCCGGGAACAACGACUGCCGCAUCUACGUGGGGAACCUGCCGCCGGACAUCCGCACCAAGGACAUCGAGGACGUCUUCUACAAGUACGGCGCCAUCCGGGACAUCGACCUCAAGAACCGGCGCGGGGGGCCGCCCUUCGCCUUCGUCGAGUUCGAGGACCCCAGGGAUGCAGAGGAUGCAGUGUAUGGACGGGAUGGAUAUGAUUAUGAUGGGUACCGUCUGCGAGUGGAGUUCCCUCGAAGUGGCCGGGGCACUGGCAGAGGAGGCGGUGGAGGAGGAGGUGGUGGAGCCCCAAGAGGCCGAUAUGGACCCCCAUCUAGACGCUCAGAGUACAGAGUGGUAGUAUCAGGACUGCCUCCCAGUGGAAGCUGGCAGGAUUUAAAGGAUCACAUGCGUGAAGCAGGUGAUGUAUGUUAUGCUGAUGUUUUCCGAGAUGGAACUGGUGUCGUGGAGUUUGUACGGAAAGAAGACAUGACCUACGCAGUGCGAAAACUGGAUAACACUAAGUUUAGAUCUCAUGAGGGAGAAACUGCCUACAUCCGUGUUAAAGUUGAUGGUCCAAGAAGUCCAAGUUAUGGAAGAUCUCGUUCUCGCAGCCGUAGUCGUAGCAGAAGCCGUAGCCGAAGCAACAGUAGGAGUCGCAGUUACUCCCCAAGAAGAAGCAGAGGAUCUCCACGCUACUCUCCCCGCCACAGCAGAUCACGUUCUCGUACAUAAAUGAUCCUUAAUGGUGCUCUUUUUGUAGAAACACCCCCCCCCCAUGUUGUAUGCAGUUUUCCUUUACUCAGUGCAGUUUUUUUUUAAUUCAAGCUGUUUUGCUCAAAUUGGCUAAAGUGUUGAAUUGCAUUCUUGUAUAAUAUCCCUAGUGAGUAUUUGCUCCUUAACAUCAACAUUCCCUCACAUCUUUGAUAAACUGUAUUUUAACUGGUGUCAUAGACAAGGAUUUUCUCCAUUUAGUUCUAGUUUGCCACCCACACUCUUCCAACUGUGGUAUUGCUGUGUAAAAUGUCUGUGUUCAGCUAUGGUUUCUACAGGCUGGGGAUGUUGGGGGUUGUUUGGGUUUGACUUGUCUCUUCUGGGGGAGCUUACAUUUUAUCUUGCCUUUUCGUGUGUCUUUCUGUAGACAUAUCUGAAGAGAUGGAUUAAGAAUGCUUUGGAUUAAAGGAUUGUGGAGCACAUGUCAAUCAUUUUAGGAUUGUCAAAAGGAGGAUUGAGGAGGAUCAGAUCAAUAAUGGAGGCAAUGGUUUGGAUUGGAGAGGGCUCACUGGAUCCCAAUCCUUGGAGCUGGAUCAUUGGAUUCAAAUCAUAUUGUGGAUAGGAUAGGGAGGAUCAAUUGCAAGGAUUCAUGGAGCGGGAUCAAAUUACCAGGAACAUAGGAGUGGAUUCCUGCCCCAACCAAACCGCACUCGUGUGGAUUUUUGUUCAACUCAAUUGGCUAUUCCAAAGAAUUUUUUUUCUCCUAUUUUUGACGAUUGGAGCCCUUAAGAUGCACGAUGGAGUUUUCAUUUUUUGGUAAAAGGAGCAAAGCGAGGACCUGGAGAGGUACGCUGGAGCAUUCUCCUUGGAAGGAUUCAGCACGAGUAGAUGGUAAAUGUUGAAGGGGAAAAGGGGGGGUUUUGUUUUAAAACAUAA